UGGGGAAUAUUGCAUCAUGGGCGCAAGCCUGAUGCAGCCAUGCCGCGCGUAUGAAGAAGGCCUUCGGGUUGUAACGUACUUUCAGCGGGGAGGAAGGGAGUAAAGUUAAUACCUUUGCUUAUUGACGUUACCCGCAGAAGAAGCACCGGCUAACUCCGUGCCAGCAGCCGCGGUAAUACGGUGGGUGCAAGCGUUAAUCGGAAUUACUGGGCGUAAAGCGCACGCAGGCGGUUUGUUAAGUCAGAUGUGAAAUCCCCGGGCUCAACCUGGGAACUGCAUCUGAUACUGGCAAGCUUGAGUCUCGUAGAGGGGGGUAGAAUUCCAGGUGUAGCGGUGCAAUGCGUAGAGAUCUGGAUGAAUACCGGUGGCGAAGGCGGCCCCCGGGACGAAGACUGACGAUCAGGUGCGAAAGCGUGGGGAGCAAACAGG
rnacentral:rRNA from 1 species